UGCCCAGCUCUCUGCUAUGUGGCCAUCAGCCACAUGGCCCAUUAACACACAUACAUCACCAUAAGGCCUCCUCCAAUCCCAUUGGCAUUGCAGAGCACUGACUAUGACAGACAGCAAAGGAAGAAAGCACCAUCCUUUGAAAGGAACUAGACACCACCAGUUCCACCACUCAGAGGGCUGGGCAUUUGCUUUUCUUCUGCUGUGACUGUACAGAAAACAGUGACAUCCUGCUAAGGAUGCAGAGGCUAGCCCUGUACCCUGCCCUGCCUGCUGUGCAUGCUGCUGGACCAUCUGUCAGUGGAGCUCUCAGACCCUAUUCUUGAAGCACUCUAAACACCUGAGGAGACAAUGUUUUGAGCAGACACUUGCUGUAUUUGCGCACAGUACUGCAUGUCUUCUCUCUGUCACUCUGGACAUACAUGGCUCAUGCAACAGAUCAGAAAUUAGGUAAGCAAAGAUAUAAAGUUAUUCUGCUUGUGCAGAAUGGAUAAUGAGAGUAAUGCAAUUAACAGUAUUAAUGUUAAUAACUAGAUAUCUGCUAUUAGCAGUCUCCCACCUUGAUCAUUUAUUAAACAGUGACACCAAAUUUAGACGUCAAAACAGU
rnacentral:lncRNA from 1 species